GGUAGGACCAGAUGAUAUGAAGAACCUGCAGGAUCAGGAGAAGGCCAUUGAAGAGCCACCAGGAGGGAUAAGGCCCGAUCAUCUCCCAACUCUCAAAGAAGGUCGUGUUCAGAAUCCUAGAAGAGGAGGCCAGUGAUUUUACUUACUUACUUGCCAGAGAGAGAGAGAAUGAGCACAAGCAGGGGGAGUAGCAGGCAGAGGCAGGAGCAGACUUCCUGCUGAGCAAGGAGCUGGAUGCUGGACUGAUCCCAGGAUCCUGGAUCAUGACCUGAGCCGAAGGCAGAUGCUUAAUUGGGACACCACCCAGGUGUCCCUCAACUUUACUUUCAAAUAUGGAAAAACUAAUAGGAAUAAGGGAUGCUCAAUAAAUUUUAAGAAUGAAAAAGAA